rnacentral:rRNA from 1 species
AGCGUAUAUUAAAGCUGUUGCAGUUAAAAAGCUCGUAGUUGGAUCUUGGGCCCAGGCCUGCGGUCCGCCGUGAGGCGUGUACUGCAGUCCUGGCCUUCCUCUCGGUUUUCGCCCGGUGCCCUUAAUUGAGUGCCAGGAGAGGCCGGAACGUUUACUUUGAAAAAAUUGGAGUGUUCAAAGCAGGCCUCGCGCCUGAACAGCAGAGCAUGGAAUAAUGGAAUAGGACCUCGGUUCUAUUGCGUUGGUUUUCGGAACUCGAGGUAAUGAUUAAGAGGGACUGACGGGGGCAUUCGUAUUGCGGUGUGAGAGGUGAAAUUCUUGGAUCGCCGCAAGACGACCGACUGCGAAAGCAUUUGCCAAGAAUGUUUUCAUUAAUCAAGAACGAAAGUUAGAGGUUCGAAGGCGAUCAGAUACCGCCCUAGUUCUAACCAUAAACGAUGCCGACUGACGAUCCGCCGGCGUUACUCCCAUGACGCGGCGGGCAGUCUGAGGGAAACCAAAGUCUUUGGGUUCCGGGGGAAGUAUGGUUGCAAAGCUGAAACUUAAAGGAAUUGACGGAAGGGCACCACCAGGAGUGGAGCCUGCGGCUUGAUUUGACUCAACACGGGAAAA